GGGAUAGCCUUUCGAAAGGAAGAUUAAUACCCCAUAAUAUAUAGAGUGGCAUCACUUUAUAUUGAAAACUGAGGUGGAUAAAGAUGGGCACGCGCAAGAUUAGAUAGUUGGUGAGGUAACGGCUCACCAAGUCGAUGAUCUUUAGGGGGCCUGAGAGGGUGAUCCCCCACACUGGUACUGAGACACGGACCAG
rnacentral:rRNA from 1 species